rnacentral:rRNA from 1 species
GAUGAACGCUGGCGGCGUGCCUAAUACAUGCAAGUCGAGCGAACAGACGAGGAGCUUGCUCCUCUGACGUUAGCGGCGGACGGGUGAGUAACACGUGGAUAACCUACCUAUAAGACUGGGAUAACUUCGGGAAACCGGAGCUAAUACCGGAUAAUAUAUUGAACCGCAUGGUUCAAUAGUGAAAGACGGUUUUGCUGUCACUUAUAGAUGGAUCCGCGCCGCAUUAGCUAGUUGGUAAGGUAACGGCUUACCAAGGCAACGAUGCGUAGCCGACCUGAGAGGGUGAUCGGCCACACUGGAACUGAGACACGGUCCAGACUCCUACGGAGGCAGCAGUAGGGAAUCUUCCGCAAUGGGCGAAAGCUUGACGGAGCAACGCUGCGUGAGUGAUGAAGGUCUUCGGAUCGUAAAACUCUGUUAUUAGGGAAGAACAAAUGUGUAAGUAACUAUGCACGUCUUGACGGUACCUAAUCAGAAAGCCACGGCUAACUACGUG